AGUUAGCUGACGAGUCCCAAAUAGGACAAAAUGCGUAGCCUAGAU
rnacentral:hammerhead_ribozyme from 1 species